CCGAGAACCUCCCGGACCCCACUCUGCUCCUGGGGAUUCGCCCUUCCCACCAGAGCACCACCAGGUGGACGGAGUGUAAUCACAGGGGUCCUUCUACGUGGGAGGUGGAAGGGUCACAGGCAGAGUGGGACCUGUGAUAACAGAAGCAGAGAUAGGAGUGAUGCAGGAAGAGGCCAUGAGCCCAAGAAUACAGGUGGCCCCUAGAAGCUGAAGAGGCAGAGUCAUCCCUCGAGCCUCUAGAAGGAGUGCAGCCUUGCUGACACCUUGAUUUUAGGUCUUCUGACCUCCACAAUUGUGAGAUAAUAAAUUCGUGUUGUUGUAAGCCA